GUUUUGCCCAUAGUCACCACGCUGGGCAGGCGGGUUGGUGACCGCAGUACUGGCUUUGUCGCACCGAAGACGCAUCAUUUAUUGUCAUCAUCAUCAUCAUCAGCUUGUGUCAUUAAUUGGGUAACCCAUUUACGGGUGAUAUCCAGGAUGUCCGGGUAGGCAUUCCUAGACCGUAUGUCGGCUUAGCACUUGGUGGUGCACUACCGACCA
rnacentral:misc_RNA from 1 species